rnacentral:snRNA from 1 species
GGGUGUGAGGGUGAUCUGGCUGCCACAUCUGUCACCCCAUUGAUCGCCAGGGUGGAUUCGGCUGAUCUGGCUGGCUAGGCGGGUGGCCCCUUCCUCCCUCACCGCUCCAUGUGCGUCCCUCCCGAAGCUGCGACCUUCCCCGAAUAGAGGAGGGCCGGUCUCCAGUCAAGGGUAUACGAGUAGCUGGGCGCCCCCGCUAGAACCUCCAAACAAGCUCUCAAGAAAAGACACAAGACUGACGUAGGUGCAAAGACCUGCUGGUUUGCACACUCAGGAACCCCAU